AUGGCGAGCUGGCCUGACAUUUGCAAGCCUAGAGACCAGGGCAGACUUGGGAUCAUGUUUCCCAAACGCAUGAACAUCGCCCUUCUGACCUGCUGGCUAUGGAGGAUUGCAAAUGGAGAGGGCAGCCUAUGGCUCGACAUUAUCCGGAACAAAUAUCUCUACGGACAGCCGCCCGCCUUUUGUCAGCGGUCUGGUGGCUCACAGUUAUGGCAGUCCAUCAUUCAGCUACUCCCAGUCCUUCGCAUCGGGACCUCCAUUACGGUGGGGUAG
rnacentral:rRNA from 1 species